rnacentral:lncRNA from 1 species
CGGCCUUUUGGCUAAGAUCAAGUGUAGUAUCUGUUCUUAUCAGUUUAAUAUCUGAUACGUCCUCUAUCCGAGGACAAUAUAUUAAAUGGAUUUUUGGAGCUAGGAGUUGGAAUAGGAGCUUGCUCCGUCCACUCCACGCAUCGACCUGGUAUUGCAGUACUUCCAGGAACGGUGCACCCCCUCUCGGGGAAUAAGCUUGGUUUUAAAAACAGAAGUCUGGUCAUAGUUCCUUACAAUCUGUAAAUGAAGUUCUCCUUCAUGUAUUUGUAACAUGAGUCGUAAUGCCGUUGGUGGUUUUGUGCGUUUUAUGGCCCGUGGUUACGAUUGCUGGCUUUUUGGGGACAAGUCAACUCCUACUCCUGGUUGUUGGAUGAUGAAAAUUGUGUUGUCCCCAACCUUUAAAUGCCUUUGCUUGGGAGGCAGAUGCAGAUAGAUCCUGUGAAAUCAAGGCCAAUCUGGGCUACAUACAGAGUUCCAGGGAUACAUAGUGAAAAUCUUGUCUAAAGCUUUUUUUCAUAAGGAAUGCUGGCUUUUCACUGAAUAAAGGGUCCGUUUGCUGACCCAGGCAGAAAGCCCUGGAUUGCAUAUAUUUUCUGUUAACUCACCACAAAGAGAACACCACCUUCCCCAACACACACCCAACAGGCCUGGCCCUGACCCCUGAGGGGUGUGCAGAUGGAGGGAAUUUGGCUGCAUAGAGGGAUCAUUUCCUAAGGAAAAUCAGCUCUAAACACAGAGGCAAUGCCCUGGGAAGGCAAAACGCAGCCCAGGUCUUCUACACUCUUUCCCAUGUUUAACUGCAAGGCAUAUACAAUGUUCAACUAACUAUAGUAUCAAAGCUAAAUCAACUCCUAUAACUGCACAGGUAUUAGGAGCGGCUUGUAGUUACUAUCAGCUUGACAGGAUUUAGAAUCCCAUAGGCAAUCGUUUUGACUGCGGUUGUGUGGCAUGUUCCUCAGAGCUGCAACAUUGACUUAUAGGUGACUGAGUAUAGUUAGUUCACUGUGGUGGCAGAAGCCUGAGGCAGAAGCAGAAAACAAUGAAUGCUUGGUCUAGGAAUUCAAGAUCACCAGGCAAAGACCCCCAAACAACACAUUUUCAAUUUAAGAGAUUUUAAACAGCAAAACAAUUUUAUUUUCAGUGCUGCUGCAACAGCCUCCUUUACAAUCUGAGGGCAGUCACAAAAGGGGAAGACAGGGGCUGGAGGGUUUAAAGGUACAAAUCACAGUUGUCUCAACUCCGGGGAUUUUUCUGCUGCAUGAAGCACUGCCAUGUUAUUUUUCUGAGUGAGCAAUGGUUAGUGAGACUACAGAGACAGAAUGGGCAUCUGGUUAAUAUUUUUGGAUAACAAUUACACAAUAAGG